rnacentral:rRNA from 1 species
UACGGAGGGUGCAAGCGUUGUUCGGAAUUACUGGGCGUAAAGCGUGCGUAGGUGGCUUAUUAAGUCAAGCGUGAAAGCCCUGGGCUCAACCCAGGAACAGCGCUUGAUACUGGUAGGCUAGAGAUUCAGAGGGGUAAGUGGAAUUCCUAGUGUAGAAGUGAAAUUCGUAGAUAUUAGGAGGAACAUCAGUGGCGAAGGCGACUUACUGGCUGAAUACUGACACUAAUGCACGAAAGCGUGGGGAGCAAACAGG